UCAUAAGAAGAGGCCUGGUUGGCAAGGGU
rnacentral:piRNA from 1 species